CAAUAGCGUAUAUUAAAGUUGUUGCGGUUAAAAAGCUCGUAGUUGGAUUUCUGCUGAGAACGACCGGUCCGCCCUUUGGGUGUGUAUCUGGCUCUUUCUUGGCAUCUUCUUGGUGAACGUUGCUGCACUUGACUGUGUGGAGCGCUACCCAGGACUUUUACUUUGAGGAAAUUAGAGUGUUUCAAGCAGGCAUACGCCUUGAAUACAUUAGCAUGGAAUAAUAAGAUAGGACCUCGGUUCUAUUUUGUUGGUUUCUAGAGCUGAGGUAAUGAUUAAUAGGGAUAGUUGGGGGCAUUCGUAUUUAACUGUCAGAGGUGAAAUUCUUGGAUUGCGUUGCGACAAACUACUGCGAAAGCAUUUGCCAAGGAUGUUUUCAUUGA
rnacentral:rRNA from 1 species